GACGAACGCUGGCGGCGUGCUUAACACAUGCAAGUCGAACGGAAAGGCCCUGCUUUUGUGGGGUGCUCGAGUGGCGAACGGGUGAGUAACACGUGAGUAACCUGCCCUUGACUUUGGGAUAACUUCAGGAAACUGGGGCUAAUACCGGAUAGGAGCUCCUGCUGCAUGGUGGGGGUUGGAAAGUUUCGGCGGUUGUGGAUGGACUCGCGGCUUAUCCGCUUGUUUGUGGGGUAGUGGCUUACCAAGGCUUUGACGGGUAGCCGGCCUGAGAGGGUUACCGGCCACAUUGGGACUGAGGUAGGGACCAGACGCCAACGGGAGGCAGCAGUGGGGAAUAUUGCACAAUGGGCGGAAGCCUGAUGCAGCAACGCCGCGUGCGGGAUGACGGCCUUCGGGUUGUAAACAGAUUUCGACGGUGACGAAGAGGGAGUGACGGUAAUGGGUAAAGAAGCAACGGCUAACUACGUG
rnacentral:rRNA from 1 species